rnacentral:rRNA from 1 species
GAGUUUGAUCCUGGCUCAGGAUGAACGCUGGCGGCGUGCUUAACACAUGCAAGUCGAACGAACCUUCGGGUUAGUGGCGGACGGGUGAGUAACGCGUGAGAAUCUGCCCUCAGGAGGGGGAUAACGGUUGGAAACGACCGCUAAUACCCCAUAUGCCGCGAGGUGAAAUGAAUUUCGCCUGAGGAUGAGCUCGCGUCUGAUUAGCUAGUUGGUGGGGUAAAGGCCUACCAAGGCAUCGAUCAGUAGCUGGUCUGAGAGGAUGAUCAGCCACACUGGGACUGAGACACGGCCCAGACUCCUACGGGAGGCAGCAGUGGGGAAUUUUCCGCAAUGGGCGAAAGCCUGACGGAGCAACGCCGCGUGA